UAGCAGCACAUAAUGGUUUGUGGA
rnacentral:ncRNA from 6 species